UACGGAGGGUGCAAGCGUUGUUCGGAUUUAUUGGGCGUAAAGCGCGUGUAGGCGGUUUUGUAGGUCUGAUGUGAAAGCCCCGGGCUCAACCUGGGAAGUGCAUUGGAAACUGCAGGACUUGAAUACGGGAGAGGGUAGUGGAAUUCCUAGUGUAGGAGUGAAAUCCGUAGAUAUUAGGAGGAACACCGGUGGCGAAGGCGGCUACCUGGACCCAUAUUGACGCUGAGACGCGAAAGCGUGGGUAGCAAACCGG
rnacentral:rRNA from 1 species